rnacentral:rRNA from 1 species
AUUGAACGCUGGCGGCAGGCUUAACACAUGCAAGUCGAACGAGUGGCGGACGGGUGAGUAAUGUUUGGGAAUCUGCCUUAUGGAGGGGGAUAACUACUGGAAACGGUAGCUAAUACCGCGUACCAUCGGAUGUGCCCAGGUGGGAUUAGCUAGUUGGUGGGGUAAAGGCUCACCAAGGCGACGAUCCCUAGCUGGUCUGAGAGGAUGACCAGCCACACGGGGACUGAGACACGGCCCAGACUCCUACGGGAGGCAGCAGUGGGGAAUAUUGCACAAUGGGGGCAACCCUGACGCAGCCAUGCCGCGUGUAUGAAGAAGGCCUUCGGGUUGUAAAGUACUUUCGGCAGGGAGGCGUUACCCGCAGAAGAAGCACCGGCUAACUCCGUGCCAGCAGCCGCGGUAAUUC